rnacentral:rRNA from 1 species
AACAGGAAGCAGCUUGCUGCUUCGCUUCCGAGUGGCGGACGGGUGAGUAAUGUCUGGGAAACUGCCUGAUGGAGGGGGAUAACUACUGGAAACGGUGGCUAAUACCGCAUAACGUCGCAAGACCAAAGAGGGGGACCUUCGGGCCUCUUGCCAUCAGAUGUGCCCAGAUGGGAUUAGCUAGUUGGUGAGGUAACGGCUCACCAAGGCGACGAUCCCUAGCUGGUCUGAGAGGAUGACCAGCCACACUGGAACUGAGACACGGUCCAGACUCCUACGGGAGGCAGCAGUGGGGAAUAUUGCACAAUGGGCGCAAGCCUGAUGCAGCCAUGCCGCGUGUAUGAAGAAGGCCUU